rnacentral:rRNA from 1 species
GAUGAACGCUGGCGGCGUGCUUAACACAUGCAAGUCGAACGGUGAAGGCGGAGCUUGCUCUGCUGGAUCAGUGGCGAACGGGUGAGUAACACGUGAGCAAUCUGCCCCUGACUCUGGGAUAAGCGCUGGAAACGGCGUCUAAUACUGGAUACGAGCUGCGAAGGCAUCUUCAGCAGCUGGAAAGAAUUUCGGUCAGGGAUGAGCUCGCGGCCUAUCAGCUUGUUGGUGAGGUAAUGGCUCACCAAGGCGUCGACGGGUAGCCGGCCUGAGAGGGCGACCGGCCACACUGGGACUGAGACACGGCCCAGACUCCUACGGGAGGCAGCAGUGGGGAAUAUUGCACAAUGGGCGAAAGCCUGAUGCAGCAACGCCGCGUGAGGGACGACGGCCCUCGGGUUGUAAACCUCUUUUAGCAGGGAAGAAGCGAAAGUGACGGUACCUGCAGAAAAAGCGCCGGCUAACUACGUG